rnacentral:lncRNA from 1 species
GCCAGGAUUACAGGUACGUGCCACCACGCCCAGCAGUUUUUUUUUGUUUUGUAUUGUUUUUAGUAGAGACGGGGUUUCACCAUGUUGGCCAGGCUGGUCUCGAACUCCUGACCUCAAGUGAUCUUCCUGCCUCAGCCUCCGAAAAUGCUGGCAUUAUAGGCGUGAGCCACCAUGCCCGGUCAAAAUCUUGUUGACUUUCAAAUAGUAAGUGUUCAAAAUACCGAACUCAUCUUAGACGCUCACCCCUGGCUAGCCUGUGUAUAUUGUUUCCAGCGAGGCAGUGUCUUUUUGUAUCAAAUUCAUAGUCCUUGGUUGAACUUUUGCUCGAAGCCCUUCUGAACCCGUGGAAAUUUGGGGAAGACUCCAUGAUUCAGUGUUACUAUCCACAGAAAAGAAUCCGCAGACUCUACAAUUACAAGAUACCAGGACUCAAUAUUUCAUGAGGCAUAGUUUAUUAAAUGGUUGCCAGUCGUUUAUGUUCGUGAACGGCUAAAUAUGACUGGUGACUCUGACAGUUACAAUUUGUCAACAGCUGCUUCCAGUGUCUUUACUUCAUUUUAAGUCUUGCACGUUUCAUUAUGAAUGGCGGGCUAAACGUAUCUAUAACUUUGAUAACUCAAUUCACUUUGUUAGUAAUGGUUUCUGAAGCAGUUAUAACAUAACAGUAACCAUGCUAGGGAUAAAUGUUUCAUAAAGAAUCCAUUAUUAUUUAUUUAUCAUUUAUAACAUGUGUUCCAAAAGCAUUACAGAAUAUAUAUUAAACAUUUAUAGAUAAUUUUAUGCUACUACUAGCAUGUGAUAUAAAUACAUUAUUAAUUCUCUUGAAUUGUUGAUGGAUUGAGCUCAAAAUAAAGCUGUGCCAACUGGGUCCUUGCCAAUAAAGUGGGGAAAAAAAGAAGGAAGUCUACUGCAUCUGAAACUUUCAGAGACACAGUAUUUUUCCCACAGAAGGUUU